ACUGAUCAUGAGUUUGAAUCAGGGACAAAGUGAUUGUAGAAUCUGGAGAAGAUGAAAUCAUCACUCAUGUCAAGUACAACAUCAAAACAAUAAAUCAUCAACAACAACCAAUCAGACGAAGCAGAGAUCAAGAAGAACCUGGAGAAGACGACGUCAUCACUCAUGUCAUGUACAACAUCAAAACAUUCAGUCAUCAACAAUAACCAAUCAGACGAAGCAGAGUUUAUCACACAUUUGAUUUCCAUGUGUGACAACUGCAAGUGUCCAGAGUGAGG